GAAGUCUCCAGCAUUAUUACCAAGAAAUUGAACCCAAGUCAGUUGGAGAAGUUUAAGGCAUCAUUAGUUUGUGGAUGUUUUAUUUUUGUAAAUAAUAAACCCAAGUCAUAAUAAACCAUGUAUUUGCUUAGUAUACAUUGAUGUAUUAUUUUUGUAAAUUCCUUCAAAUAUAUUCUACAAGGGUUAUGCUCUUCUAGAAAAUUCAUUGAAAAAGUUAUG
rnacentral:lncRNA from 1 species